CGUAGGUAACCUGCCUGGUAGCGGGGGAUAACUAUUGGAAACGAUAGCUAAUACCGCAUAAGAGUAGAUGUUGCAUGACAUUUGCUUAAAAGGUGCAAUUGCAUCACUACCAGAUGGACCUGCGUUGUAUUAGCUAGUUGGUGGGGUAACGGCUCACCAAGGCGACGAUACAUAGCCGACCUGAGAGGGUGAUCGGCCACACUGGGACUGAGACACGGCCCAG
rnacentral:rRNA from 2 species